UACGUAUGGGGCAAGCGUUAUCCGGAUUUACUGGGUGUAAAGGGAGCGUAGGCGGCGGGGCAAACCUGAUGUGAAAGCCCGGGGCUCAACCCCGGGACUGCAUUGGGAACUGCCCUGCUGGAGUGCCGGAGGGGCAGGCGGAAUUCCUAGUGUAGCGGUGAAAUGCGUAGAUAUUAGGAGGAACACCAGUGGCGAAGGCGGCCUGCUGGACGGUGACUGACGCUGAGGCUCGAAAGCGUGGGGAGCAAACAGG
rnacentral:rRNA from 1 species